UACGUAGGGGGCUAGCGUUGUCCGGAUUUAUUGGGCGUAAAGAGCGUGUAGGCGGCCAUGUAGGUCCGGUGUGAAAACUCGAGGCUUAACCUCGAGAUGUCAUCGGAAACCAUUUGGCUAGAGUCCGGAAGAGGAGAGUGGAAUUCCUGGUGUAGCGGUGAAAUGCGCAGAUAUCAGGGAAGAACACCAAUGGCGAAGGCAGCUCUCUGGGACGGUACUGACGCUGAGACGCGAAAGCGUGGGGAGCAAACAGG
rnacentral:rRNA from 1 species